CAAUUGCCUGUCAAGAUGCAGGCUCCCCGCGGUUAGACGGAAAGACCCCGUGCACCUUUACUACAGCUUCACACUGGCAUCAGGCCAUGCAUGUGCAGGAUAGGUGGUAGGCUUCGAAGCAGGGACGCCAGUUCCUGUGGAGUCAUCCUUGAGAUACCACCCUUGCUUUGCUUGAUGUCUAACCGCGGCCCGUUAUCCGGGUCCGGGAC
rnacentral:rRNA from 14 species